rnacentral:ncRNA from 2 species
CGAUUUCUUAUCCGCCCAGGUGUGCACGACCGCAAGGUCCGCAUUAAACGGGAAGCCGGUGCGCUCGCGAGAGCAAGGCCGGCGCUGCCCCCGCAACGGUAAUCGACCGCGAUCCAGCCGGAUCGCCGUCCGCUCGACAGCCACUGUGUUUCGACAUGGGAAGGCGAGCGCGAUGAGCGUCGAAAGCCCGGAGACCGGCCUGGCGGAUUCGACGGGU